UAGUCAUAUGCUUGUCUCAAAGAUUAAGCCAUGCAUGUCUAAGUAUAAGCAAUCUAUACUGUGAAACUGCGAAUGGCUCAUUAAAUCAGUUAUCGUUUAUUUGAUAGUACCUUACUACUUGGAUACCCGUGGUAAUUCUAGAGCUAAUACAUGCUGAAAACCCCGACUUCGGAAGGGGUGUAUUUAUUAGAUAAAAAACCAAUGCCCUUCGGGGCUCCUUGGUGAUUCAUGAUAACUUCUCGAAUCGCAUGGCCUUGCGCCGGCGAUGGUUCAUUCAA
rnacentral:rRNA from 1 species